GAUCCUGGCUCAGGACGAACGCUGGCGGCGUGCUUAACACAUGCAAGUCGAACGAGAAGCCGGAGCUUGCUCCGGUGGAAAGUGGCGAACGGGUGAGUAACACGUGAGAAAUCUGUCCUAGAGACCGGGACAACCAUCGGAAACGAUGGCUAAUACCGGAUAUCCUCACCCGGUCGCAUGGCCGGGCGAGAAAAUGCUCAGGUGCUCUAGGAGGAUCUCGUGGCCUAUCAGCUGGUUGGUGGGGUAACGGCCUACCAAGGCAACGACGGGUAGCUGGUCUGAGAGGACGAUCAGCCACACUGGGACUGAGACACGGCCCAGACUCCUACGGGAGGCAGCAGUGGGGAAUAUUGCGCAAUGGGCGAAAGCCUGACGCAGCAACGCCGCGUGAGGGAUGACAGCUUUCGGGUUGUAAACCUCUUUCAGUGAUGACGAAAAUGACGGUAGUCACAGAAGAAGCUCCGGCCAACUACGUGCCAGCAGCCGCGGUAACACGUAGGGAGCGAGCGUUGUCCGGAUUUAUUGGGCGUAAAGGGCUCGUAGGCGGUUUCGUAAGUCGGAUGUGAAAACUCAGGGCUCAACCCUGAGACGCCAUCUGAUACUGCGAUGACUGGAGUCCGGUAGAGGAGCAUGGAAUUCCUGGUGUAGCGGUGGAAUGCGCAGAUAUCAGGAGGAACACCGACGGCGAAGGCAGUGCUCUGGGCCGGUACUGACGCUGAGGAGCGAAAGCAUGGGGAGCGAACAGGAUUAGAUACCCUGGUAGUC
rnacentral:rRNA from 1 species